CGUCGUCCUGGAGGACGUCUCGCUCGCCUUCGAGGCGGGGAAGGUGUCGGGCAUCAUGGGCCCGAACGGCGCC
rnacentral:tRNA from 1 species